UUCAGUGACAAAUUAUGUCGGACUGAGUUCUUCCAGCCCUGAUAUGAACCUCUGAAGAACGGGAAGCGAGCCUGCAGGAACUGGUAGAUCUCACUGAG
rnacentral:miRNA from 1 species